UUUAUAAGUUUAUCUUUAUAUUUACGUGUUUGUUGGAUUACUCCAGUUGCAAAAAUUAAACAUUAGAUGACUCGUAUUUGAAUUAAAUAACUUGUUUCGACUGUUAAACCCUCUAACUUACGUCGUGGACUUUGACAGCAUUUAAAAGCGACAGACUGCUCUAAAUACUGUAAACAACGGAGAUCUCAGCCGGAUUUAUAGCUUCUGUGCUAUGCAAUAAUGCAACGCGUUCAUGUAUGUAUAUAUGUGAACGUAUAAAGUACGACAUGUGUGUGUUUUGCUACUCUUAGGAAGGGCUCAGUUGUAAUUGCUAACAGCAGUGAUGUCUGUGAGUCUGACUCCAGAACAGCAGCGGAGGAUAGAAGAGAACAGACAGCGAGCUCUGGCCAGAAGAGCCGAGAAACAGGCUCAACUGACACCUGGAUCUGCCCAAAACAAAACACAGCCCCCCUCUGCAGAGUCAGCAAACAACAGCCAGCUGUUUGCAUCCGAUCGAGCACAUCCUGGGGCCCCUGGUCAAGGAGCAAGACAGACUCAGCUCAUAGACACUAAAGGACCCUGUACAAAGACAGCAACCUCCAAUGCUGCAUCUGCAACUCUUAGCUUUUAUGGACAGUCAAGCAAACCACCCACAGGAGAAAAGCGGCCAGCUAAACUCCCUGAAGCAGGAGGAAGUGUCCCUGCAAAGAAGCCAGCGGUGUCCGUGAAAGGGAAAUGCAAGUCACACUCGGAAAAUCGUUUCCGAGUAGAGGUCGGCUACUAUGCGGACCUCAUCGCUGUAUUCAAAAGCAUUCCCUCUAAGAACUAUGAUCCCACUACAAAGAUGUGGAACUUCAGCCUUGAGGACUACCAGAUGCUGAUGGAGCAGGCAGCGGGUCUCCCCUCCGUCUCUCUCAAACCUCUGGAUGGGAUGGAAGGGCUGAAUAUCUCAGCGUCCACCAGUCGACCCAAAGAUGCAGCAGCCCUGGCAGCUCUGAUGAGGCUCUGUCAGGGUUGGCAGAAACCAGGUGCCACAGUAAAGGGGAAGUGUGUUUUAGUGUCUCGCUGUCGGUUGGAGGUGGAUAUUGGAUACCAGGCAGAUGUUAUUGAAAUCUUCAAGAAAAUGCCAUCCAAAAAUUAUGACAUGAAGACCAGAAAAUGGAGUUUCCUUUUGGAGGACUACGGGCAGCUCAUGGUGGAACUGAGUGAACUGCCUAUGGUGGAGAUCGAGCCUUUACCUGCUGCUGUGCUGCUGUCCUUCUCCUCUCAGUUUGAGAAGAGCGAGUCCAGAGCUCCAGUUCCUCCUGAGGCCGAUCUCUCACACGUGGAUCCACAUCUCACACGCAGCCUCAUGCCCUUCCAGAGAGACGGGGUCAAUUUUGCAGUGUCCAGAGAGGGCCGUUUGCUCCUGGCUGAUGAUAUGGGUCUGGGAAAGACAGUUCAGGCCAUCUGCAUCGCUGCGUACUACAGGAGUGAGUGGCCUCUGCUGGUGGUCGCUCCGUCCUCAGUGCGCUUCACGUGGGCUGAGGCUUUCCGCCGAUGGCUGCCAUCCGUCAGAGCCGACAGCAUUAAUGUGGUGGUUACAGGCAGAGACAGCCUUCGCUCCGGCCUCAUCAACAUCAUCAGCUACGACCUGCUCAACAAGAUGGACAAACAGCAGCCGUCCAGCCCUUUCAGUGUCAUCAUUAUGGACGAGUCUCACUUCCUAAAGAACAUGAAAACGGUUCGCUGUCGGGCGGCUCUUCCUCUGCUGAAGACCGCUAAGAGAGUGAUCCUGCUGUCGGGAACGCCUGCCAUGUCCAGACCUGCUGAGCUCUACACUCAGAUCCUGGCUGUGAGGCCUUCUCUGUUUCCACGCUUCCAUGACUUUGGCACACGCUACUGUGAUGCCAAACAGCUGCCGUGGGGCUGGGAUUACUCCGGCUCGUCUCGUCUGAGCGAACUGAAGCUGCUGCUGGAGGAGUCUCUGAUGCUGCGCCGCCUCAAAUCAGAGGUGCUCUCGCAGCUUCCCGCCAAACAGCGCAAGGUGGUCACAGUGACGACGGACGGCAUCAACUCUCGCACCAAAGCUGCUCUCAACGCCGCUGCCAAAGAGCUCGCCAGAGGAUACCACAACAAGUCACAAGAGAAGGAAGCUCUCCUGGUUUUCUUCAACCACACAGCAGAGGCCAAGAUCAGAGCCAUCGUGGAGUACAUCUCAGACAUGCUGGAGUGCGGACGAGAGAAGUUUCUGGUGUUUGCUCAUCAUAAACUGGUGCUGGACAGCAUAACCAAAGAACUCGGUGAGAAGGGAAUCAGUUACAUUCGUAUCGAUGGCUCGACGGCGUCGGCGGAGCGACAGCAGCUGUGUGACCGCUUCCAGUCGUCACAGAGGAGCUGCGUGGCUGUUCUGUCCAUCACCGCCGCUAACAUGGGGCUCACGCUGCACGCAGCCGACCUCGUGGUGUUCGCCGAGCUCUUCUGGAACCCCGGAGUCCUGAUUCAAGCGGAGGACCGCGUGCACAGGAUUGGACAGACCAGUAAUGUGGACAUUCAUUACCUGGUCGCUAAAGGCACCGCGGAUGAUUACCUUUGGCCCAUGAUACAGGAGAAAAUGAAUGUUUUGGAGCAGGUUGGUUUGUCUGAAUCCAACAUUUCAGAGAAGGCAGAAUCUGCCAGCUUUCACAGCAAGGACCCUCAUCAGCUGACCAUCACUGAGAUGUUCCAGAGGUCCUUUGAUGAGGAGGAGAUGCUUGCUUUAGUUGAUCAAGAUCAAUGAUUGUACAGAUUUCACAAAUUUUCCUGAUCACCUGAAAUACAGAAGACAAACUUUUCUACAAUUUUCCCUGCUGUACCUCAAUGCAUCAACACCACCAGAUAAAAUACUCCAUUUACUGAAGAAAAUCUGAUCACAUUCAUUUGUGUAUUAAAAUGCAUAAGCCAUUGUGUUUUCUGGUUUUGAUAGCUAUUAAUAGAGGACCUAUUUAAAAUGAGUGAAAUGACCUGAAAAUCUAUUUAUUUUCAAUGGGUGAUGAGACUGAUGGUACUGUAUUAUAGUUUUAACAACAAACAAACAAAAAAUGACCUAGGAUCAUAAAAACUCACCAGAGCCUGUGAUUGCUGAAAUAUGGACCAUCAGGAUGAAGGCUGACUUUGAUUUUAUAAAUGUUCCCUUAAUAUCUAACAAUUAAUGUCCAAAGUGGAAACCGAUUUUGUCUCAUGUCUGAAGGAUCAGUGUGUAAACUAGUCAUUGAGGUAAAGACCUGCG